rnacentral:lncRNA from 1 species
AUCAUAUAUACAACUCCAAUAAGCAACGUCAUUGAACACAUGAAUGAAUGCAUGUCAUGUUAUAAUAAGCAACAUCAAUAGGCAACAUCAUUUAACAACUUCAAUAGACAACUCCAUCAUCAUUAUAACAUCAAUAAACAACGUCGAUAAAUAACUACAAGAACAACAACAAUUACAACAUUAUAAUUUCGGCACAACUCCAACAUCAUUAAACUAGAUAAUUCAACAUCGU